AGGAUAUCUACUUGGAGUUUGCUUUCUUGGGGAGUUUUCCAACUAGCUAUUACUUUCUGAACUUUCUCGAUGGGGCCGUAUUCUUUCUCUACAAGAGGAGCUCGACCACCUGACACCAGAUCAUAUUUAUUAUGCAGGACGAAAGAAGAAACAACUUCAGCAGAUACUCUCCUCAUAAUACAAGGAAAAGGGAGUUCAAGUAAAUUUUCAGUGCAAAAUAUACAGUGCACUUGUGUCAGUGGAAAAUACAAGUAGGCAACACAUUUCAAACAACUACCUUGUGUGAGACUUGGACUCACUGCUUUUAAGUUAGAAUCAAGUGAACAUGUGGAGUGAAGGUACAUGAUGGGGUCCUCACUACUAAUUAAGCUGAGGCACUUUUGUGUGCCCACCUGACUUGUCUCUCAUGGCUGAUAGCCAGUGAGGCUGUACUGUGUAAUUCUGAAAGAAAAAUGUCUCUCUUUUUAUUAUCAACCUAGAAAAUUGGCUAGGAGACCAUGCUUGCUAUACCAAUUGAUCAUACUAAACUUGCAAUAUACUGCAACUUUUUUCCUGUAUUAAUCAUAUUCCUAAUGAGAAUCAUUUAGAGAGAAGAAUAUUUCAAGACUUUGUAUUUCAGAGUGUUAAUGACUCAGGAAAUUAAUAUUUAAUAGGAGUUGAAAAAGCUUGCUCAAAAACUGAUUGGAUAACUUUUCUCUAAUAUGCAUCAGCUUUUCAAGUAACACUGAUGUUAGUUGUGUCUCAAGAGAUACAGCUAUUUACAUUUUGUAUUAAUGUACCUAGUAGAUAGUUACAGGAGACGUAUGAUGAAAUUUUAAAGAAUGUGACAAGUUGUCUAGGAUUUCUAUACAUCAACCUCGCAAGCGUGCUUUGUCAAUGAUGGGUAACUAUGCGUACUUCUUCUUCUAUGCGUUCUAUGCGUACUUCUUCUUCUAUGCGUUCUAUGCGUACUUCUUC